rnacentral:rRNA from 1 species
GACGAACGCUGGCGGCGUGCUUAACACAUGCAAGUCGAACGGAAAGGCCCUGCUUUUGUGGGGUUCCCCGAUGGGCAACGGGGUGGGAACACGUGAGUUAACCGCCCUUUGAUUUGGGGUAAAUUCAGGGAAAUUGGGGUAAUAACGGAUAGGAACUCCCUGCUGCAUGUGGGGGUUGGGAAGGUUCGGCGGUUGGGGAUGGACUCGCCGCUUAUCAGCUUGUUGGUGGGGUAGUGGCUUACCAAGGCUUUGACGGGUAGCCGGCCUGAGAGGGUGACCGGCCACAUUGGGACUGAGAUACGGCCCAGACUCCUACGGGAGGCAGCAGUGGGGAAUAUUGCACAAUGGGCGGAAGCCUGAUGCAGCAACGCCGCGUGCGGGAUGACGGCCUUCGGGUUGUAAACCGCUUUCGCCUGUGACGAAGCGUGAGUGACGGUAAUGGGUAAAGAAGCACCGGCUAACUACGUG